rnacentral:lncRNA from 1 species
GCUGGCUCCGGCAGCCUGCUUUUAUUGUCUUAUCUGGCCCCACCCACAUCCUGCUGAUUGGUAGAGCCGAGUGGUCUGUUUUGACAGGGUGCUGAUUGGUGCGUUUACAAUCCCUGAGCUAGACACAAAGGUUCUCCAAGGCCCCAGCAGAGUCGAUUGGUAUAUUCACAAACCCUGAGCUAGACACACGGUGCUGAUUGGUGUAUUUACAAUCCCUGAGCUAGACAUAAAGGUUCUCCACAUCCCCACCAGACUCAGGAGCCCAGCUGGCUUCACCAAGUGGAUCCCACACCAGGGCUGCAGGUGGAGCUGCCUGCGAGAACGGCACCGUGCGCCCACACUCCUCAGCCCUUGGGUGGUGAUGGGACUGGGCGCCGUGGAGCAGGGGGUGGUGCUCGUCGAGGAGGCUCGGGCAGCACAGGAGCCCAUGGAGGGGGUGGGAGGCUCAGGCAUGGCGGGCUGCAGGUCCCGAGCCCUGCCCCUCGGAAAGGCAGCUAAGGCCCGGUGAGAAAUCGAGCACAGCGCCGGUGGGCUGGCACUGCUGAGGGACCCAGUACACCCUCCGCAGCCGCUGGCCCGGGUGCUAAGCCCCUCAUUGCCGGGGGCUGGCAGGGCCAGCCGGCUGCUCCGAGUGCGGGGCCCACCAAGCCCACGCCCACCCUGAACUCCAGCUGGCCCGCAAGCGCCGUGUGCAGCCCCGGUGCCCGCUCGCGCCUCUCCCUCCACACCUCCCUGCAAGCUGAGAGAGCCGGCUCUGGCCUUGGCCAGCCCAGAAAGGGGCCUCCACAGUGCAGCAGUGGGCUGAAGGGCUCCUCAAGUGCUGCCAAAGUGGGAGCCCAGGCAGAGGAGGCACCGAGAGUGAGCGAGGGCUGUGAGGACUGCCAGCACACUGUCACCUCUCACCAACAUUCUAAAUCAUAAACACCCAGGCCGGGCGUGUGGCUCACGCCUAUAAUCCCAGCACUUUGGGAGGCUGAGGUGAGAGGAUCGCUUGAGCUCAGGAGUUCCAUACCAGCCUGGGCAACAAGGGAAAAAACCCUACCAAAAAAAACACAAGAAAUUAGCUGGGCGUGGUGGCGCGUGCCGAUAGUCCCAGCUACUUGAGAGGCUGAGCCGGGAAGAUUGCUUGAGCCCAGCAGGUCGAGACCGAGGUGAGCUCUGAACGCCUGAUUGCGCCACUGCACCCCAGCCCAGUGACAGGGCGAGACCCUGUCUCAAAAUAAAUAAAUAAAAAUAAUAAACAACCGAAUUCAGUGGUCCCGUUAGAAUAUUCCAGGCUCCGAGAAGCCAGGUGCUCACAGCGUCGGGAUUUGCCCCCAGCCAGGGCCUCCGCUCCCUCUUGCCUCGGGCAGAUGCUCCUGGAACACAGAGCUGCGGCCUCGGUGCUGAUGCUGAGUGCUGUGACCCAGCCUCCCCCUACUUUUUUCCUAAGGGUAUAAGCUUCACUCUGCCUGGGGCUUUGGCUGUAAGUUGGAGUCUGGCUUUACCCACUGUGGGCACCCAAGGCCAAGGUGGGUCUGAUUCACCACUGUUUCCUCAGCCCUGCCAGGCUCUGAAUAUGCCUUUAGGAAUCAUUCUGGAAGAUUUCUUUCUUCACUGGACUAUAUAAGUGCCUCUGCGAGAAAACAGGCCCUAGGGGCAGGUACUUAGUCAGUUUAGUCAUCUGUUUCCUCAGCUUGAAAUGGGCUUGGCAUACAGCAGGAGCCCAGUAAAUGUUGCUUUAAUGCUCAUUUCCCAAGAGAUCUUUAUUAAGCACCCACUGCAUGUCAUUGUGUCUAGGCUUAUUCACUGUGUACCUCUAGCAGAAAGUUAAGGGGACCCUCCAUGCUUGAUGGCCAGAGGUCACUCUCAGCUCCUACAGGUCACUCUCCGGUCCUUAAACGUGGCCCUCUCCAUCUUCAAAGCCAGUAAGAGCAUGUCGGAUCCUUCUUAUCCUUCCAGCCUCUCUGUCAUCCCCUUCUGCUCCCAGCUGGAGAAAACUCUGCUUUUAAGGGGCUUGCCAUGGUCCAAAUAUGUGAGUCCCCCCAAAAUUCAUAUGUUGCAAAGCAAUCCCCAAUGUGAUGAUAUUAGGAGGUGGGGUCUUUGGGAGGUGAUGUGGUCAUGAAGGCUCAGCUUUCAUGAAUGAGAUUAGCACCCUCAUAAAACAACUCCACAGGGCCGCCUUACCCCUUCUGCUGUGGGAGGUUAUAGCAAAAAGAUGGGCUUCUAUGAACCAGAAGUGGGCCCUCACCAGGCACCAAACCUGCUGGCACCGUGAUCUUGUACUGCUCAGCCUUCAGAACUCAGAAAAUACAUUUCUGUUGUUUAGAAGACACCCAGUUUCUGGUAUUUUGUUAGAGCAGCGUGAACGGACUAAAAUAGUGCUUAUGUGGUUGUGUAACAGCAUCGAUUCCAUGUUAAAGAACAAUUUUGCUUGCUCAAUUAUAAUUAUUGCUUUGCUUAAGUUUUAGACUAUGCUAAAAACAGCCUCAGGACCUUCAGCACUGAUCAACAAUCCUGGGCAUGGGCUGACCGACAGUUUUCACCCAGAGAGUGAAGAUCAUGGAGGAGCCAUCUUAAAUUCUGCCCAGCGCAGGCUCCCAGGAAUCCUAAUGUCACGAUCUCACUGCAGCCAAUGUGACAAACACAGCAGUAAUUAAGUCUAGAGAGCUAAACACACCUCAAAAAGAAUUGUCUCUUGGUAUGAGUGGAAUGGAAUAAAAUACAUGGAAACCCACAAAAGUUUCGAGGUGAACAUAUUAGCAAAAAUGCUCUAGCUUAUCCAAGCGACAGUUCAAAGUGUCAAAGGACUUCUAGACUCCCAAUCUUUCCACCGGCAGAAAGCAGGCUCAGUAGCCCAAACUGGCGCAUUUUAAAAUGCCCUUUUCAGAAGUGUGAUGGAAAAAGAAGGAUGUGUCAGUGCAGGCCAGUGUGUGGGGACCAAUGGCAAACUGCAGCUCCUGAACUAAGAAAGACUUUCAUAUCUUUAAAAAAGAAAAGGAGAAAUAGGAAUAUGUGAUAGAGACUGUAUGUGGCCCACAAAGCCUAACAUAUUUACUGUUUAGAUCUUUACAGAAAAUGUUUGCCAACUCCUGUGCUGCUGAGCCACUUCCAGGUUGCAGAACCAAAGCCUUACAUUCCCUAGCUUUAAAGUAGAGGACCUGGCAAUGUUUACUCCACCGAGUUUCAAAAUAGCUAUGUGACUGCUAUUUCACCCCUUCAUUCUUCCCUUACCAAUGGGCCUUAUCCUGUCCCUGUCUCAUCACUGAAUGUUGGGUCUAAGUGGACAAUAACUUGUCUUUUCAAAAAGUGCAUAAGCUUCUAGACCAAUAAAAGCCAUAUUAGGACCUGAUGUGGCUCACAAGAUGCUAGACUUCUUGCUUGAGGCCAUGAUUGGAAGAAAGUAGGAAGGGGGUCCUUAGAUGGGGGUGGGCAAUUUUUCCAUGAAUAAUGGGGGCAGUGGGCACAGAUGAUGGUAGGUAGUAUAAAUGACCCCAAUUCCCCACCCCUUCAUUCAUCCAUGUUCUCUGCCUCAUGUCUUGCUUUGGCCAAUGAGAGGUUCACAGAGAGGACACAAGCACAGGUUUGAAAGAGGCUUUCGCGGUUGGACUCGCUUUCCUCUGCGUCUCUGCCUUCGCUAUGAGAAGAACGGGCACCGGUCUUGGGAAGAUGGUGAGAGAAACACAGAACCAAGCUGCUCUAGACAGGCCUAGCCUAGACCAGGUGGCCCGCAGACCAUUACUGAGCCCAGCCUGGAUCAUCCAACUCCCAGCCAAACUGCAGACCAUGAGGAAUGUUUAUUGUUGUCACGGAGAUUUAGGGUGGCUCAUGCAGCAAAAGCCAGUUGAUGGCCGUAGGUGGGAUUAUAAUCCCGGAUACAUUAAAAUGCCAGUCUCUUCUUUUCCCCAUGUCUUCAUUUGCUCACUCUCAGGUGAAGGGAUCUUGCUUGGAGGCCCAGACGUUCUGGAUUUUCUCUUUAGAAACUGUGGCUUGAAGCAUCCUCUUCAGGAAACAAUAUUUACUCCUUUUGUAUCUCCAAAACCCCUCCUCACCCCUUUUGCAACCCAAACCCAAGUGUCUUCUGUGUCCUAUUUUUCUUCUUUUGAGGCAGAGUCUUGCUCUGCUGCCCAGGCUGGAAUGCAGUGGUGCGAUCACGGCUCACUGCAGCCUCGACCUCCCUGGCCCAGGUGAUCCUCGCAACUCAGCCUCCCGAGUAGCUGGGACUACAGGCACAUACCACAAUACCUGGCUAAUUUUUUUGUAUUUUUUUGUAGAGGUGUGGUUUCACUAUGUUACCCAGGUUGGUCUUGAACUGAGCUCAAGCAAUCUGCCUGCCUCGGCCUCCCAAAGUGCUGGGAUUACAGGUGUGAGCCACUGCGCCUGGCCAGCUUGUACAUUUUACAAUCAAGAUUACAAGACUACUGCCAGCUGUAGGCCACAUCAGGCUCUGAGAAGAGGGGAUGUGGACAGAGGUAACCAGGACAAAAGGAAAAAAAAGUCCUUAAUUUCACCUUCUCUGAUGCCAUUUAGUUCAUGCCGAUCAUCUGUAAUUCACAUCUGUGAACUUUCAGCCCGUUUGGGAGAAGCCUUCCCUCAAGUGCUUAAUUAUGGCACAGGAUGGUCUCUUUUACACAAACGACUGUGCAAAGACAUAGAAAGUGGAAUUUAUUUCUAUCAGAAUUAAUUCAGAAAAUCUGGGUAAGUUCCACACUCCAUUUAACACUCAUUACACAUAAUAACUGGUCAGACCACAUUGUGUAUGACUUAACCCACAUUACAUGAAUAGUCUAGGAAUAACAAAAGAAUUUACUAUUUAUUUAUCUGAAACAAUGUUGAUUCUGGGUUUGGUAAGAUUCUGGGCUCGACACAAUUCUGAGUCAUGCUAAAUUCUUCCACCAAAGGCAGCUGCCAUAAUGGAGUGUCUGGUACAGGAAGCGCGAGCCACUGGAGUGUGGGACGCAUCACGGCCACAACAACAAAGCUGUCUCCACGUCCACUGCUAGCCGGGCGGGGCAGUAAAACGUGGUGUCUUGCACGUUGUAUUUUCAAGAAACGGCCACAAUGCAAUUGCUAACAGUUGCACCUGCUCUUCCAGAACCUUGCCAUGCCCAUCAAGAGGUGGAGUCUGUGUCUCCUCCCUUUGACCCUGGCGGGACUUUGUGAAGGUGAUAUGGCAAAGAGAUGCUAUGGGACUUCCGAUGCUUACUCUCCUGGGUUUUGUACAUUUGGACGCCAAAGCCACCAUAUACGAAGUCUGGCUCCCCUGAAAUUGC